rnacentral:lncRNA from 1 species
ACAAAGAAAAAAGGAAGUGAGUUAAACAAAAAGAGAAGCAACUUGGACAAAAAGAGAAGUAACUUGGACAAAAAGAAAUGAAGUGACUUAGACAAAUCUUUUUUGUCGAUAACCUCAGACCAAUCAAUCAAAUAUUGAUUAAUACGUAAUCGAUCGAACACUACUUGAAAAUGGCUCUUCUGCUCAGAAACGAAAUGUUCCAAAUGCUCCUGGAAAUUCUUACUCCCAUUGGACCAUUUGUAUCUAUAUGCAUUAGGAUCCCGAUUCAUGGAUCUCUCGGUCCAAGAAAUCAAAAUAAGAGGAUCGAACCAUUUCUUCUGACUCUUUUUCAAAUUCGAUAAAUGUUGGUUGAUCGUAUAUUUCAUUAUAGUUCUAUGAUUCAGAGUAUCAUUUCCUAUUUGAUCCCUUUGAAUUCCAUAUUCGAAGUUGCGAUCGGAGUAUAUGCUUCAACAGGAAUCACGCACACAAGGGUAGACAUAAUGAUAAACGUAAUGAUACCUUUUCUGUCUUUUUUUGUCACUCAUUUUUUAUCAGCAUAAUAUUUUUCCUAAUUUUUUUUUCAAUUAUUUCUGGACUCUAGACUAUAUAGUUUAGAUAACCCGCGAAAAUUUUCGACAUAUUUGAUUGCGAUCUUGAUAUAGACAGGGCGCUCCUUCGUCUCAAAAUCUGAAUAGAACAAUCUUUCUUAUUUGAAGCGGUUCUUUCGGGCAGUUAUCAAAAGAGGGCAAUUGCUUCGAAUUUGAUCAAUUGAGAUAUCUGGAAACAAUAUAACAAUAAUAUAUAUAUUUCAUUCGAAUUCAAAGUGGAUUCUUAUUUUCUAUAUUCUGUAUUCUUUUUAGAUUCAAUUAGAUUCAAGGGCUAAGCAUUGAAUCAAAAAAAACAGAGAAUAGAUUCAUGGGCCCCUACUUUAUAAUAUAAUGAAAGGCAUGCUUGAUAGAAACAUUAGAUCACAUAAAGUCAACGAAUGAGGUGGUUCAUUAACAACUCACAGAUGAAAAAAUGGCAAAAAAGAAAGCAUUCACUCCCCUUCUAUAUCUUGCAUAUAUAGUAUUUUUGCCCUGGUGGAUCUCUCUCUCAUUUAAUAAAAGUCUGAAAUCUUGGAUUACUAAUUGGUGGGAUACUAGGCAAUCCAAAACUUUUUUGAAUGAUAUUCAAGAAAAGAGUAUUCUAGAACAAUUCAUAGAAGUAGAGGAACUCUUCCUGUUGGACGAAAUGAUAAAAGAAUACCCAGAAACACAUCUACAAAAGCUUCGUAUAGGAAUCCAAAAAGAAACGAUCCAACUGAUCAAGUUGCACAAUGAGGAUCAUAUCCAUACGAUUUUGCACUUCUCGACCAAUCUAAUCUGUUUCGUUAUUCUAAGUGGUUAUUCUAUUUUGGGGAAUGAAGAACUUCUUAUUCUUAACUCUUGGGUUCAAGAAUUCCUAUAUAAUUUAAGCGACACAAUAAAAGCUUUUUCUAUUCUUUUAUUAACAGAUUUAUGUAUAGGAUUUCAUUCGCCCCACGGUUGGGAACUAAUGAUUGGCUCUAUAUACAAAGAUUUUGGAUUUGCUCAUAAUGAUCAAAUUAUAUCUGGUCUUGUUUCUACCUUUCCAGUCAUUCUAGAUACAAUUUUUAAAUAUUGGAUCUUUCGUUAUUUAAAUCAUGUAUCUCCGUCACUUGUAGUUAUUUAUCAUUCAAUGAAUGACUGAAAAAUGAUUCACGGAUUCAAUUAUAAUCUUUCUUACUUUCGAGAUAAGCAAAGCAUGCAAAGUCGUACUUACUUUACUCUUUCUACCCAUCAGGAGAAUACAAUUUCUCCUCUGUUUCAGUCAUUUUUUUUUUCAGUUUUCAGUAAAAGUAAAUAGCAGAAUCAUGGCUAGGGAACUAUACUAGUGACCUACCUAAUUUUAUUGUAGAAAUUUUCGGGAUCAAUGAUUGGACCAUGCAAACUAGAAAUACUUUUUCUUGGAUAAAGGAGGAGAUUACUCGAUCCAUUUCCGUAUCGCUCAUGAUCUAUAUAAUAACCGGGGCUUCCAUUUCAAAUGCAUAUCCCAUUUUUGAGCAGUAGGGGUAUGAAAAUCCACGAGAAGCAACUGGGCGUAUUGUAUGUGCCAAUUGCCAUUUAGCGAAUAAACCCGUGGAUAUUGAGGUUCCACAAGCGGUACUUCCUGAUACUGUAUUUGAAGCGGUUGUUAGAAUUCCUUAUGAUAUGCAACUGAAACAAGUUCUUGCUAAUGGUAAGAAAGGGGCUUUGAAUGUGGGUGCUGUUCUUAUUUUACCAGACGGGUUUGAGUUAGCCCCGCCUGAUCGUAUUUCGCCCGAUAUGAAAGAAAAGAUAGGCAAUCUGUCUUUUCAGAACUACCGCCCCACUAAGAAAAAUAUUCUUGUGAUAGGUCCUGUUCCUGGUAAAAAAUAUAGUGAAAUCACCUUUCCUAUUCUUUCCCCAGACCCUGCUAGUAAUAAGGAUGUUCAUUUCUUAAAAUAUCCCAUAUACGUAGGCGGCAACAGGGGAAGGGGCCAGAUUUAUCCCGACGGGAACAAAAGUAACAAUACUGUUUAUAAUGCUACGGCAAGCAGGUAUAGUAAGCAAAAUCAUACGAAAAGAAAAAGGGGGUACGAAAUAACCAUAACGGAUGCCUUGGAUGGACAUCAAGUGGUUGAUAUUAUCCCCCCAGGACCAGAACUUCUUGUUUCAGAGGGUGAAUCUAUCAAACUCGAUCAACCAUUAACAAUUAAUCCUAAUGUGGGUGGAUUUGGUCAGGGGGAUGCAGAAAUAGUACUUCAAGACCCACUACGCGUCCAAGGUCUUUUGUUCUUCUUGGCAUCUAUUGUUUUUGCACAAAUCUUUUUGGUUCUUAAAAAGAAACAGUUUGAGAAGGUUCAAGUGUCCGAAAUGAAUUUCUAGAUCUGUGGAUUUAUCAACAUCAAAUUUGUAAAAAAGAACAAAUUCUUCCUGUCAAUUAGGUUAGGUAUAAUGAAAAAAGGGAUGAAAAGUCUUUUGCUUGUUUCUAUUCUUUCUCUAGGAAUUGCUUUUACCGCAUUCAAAACAAAAUAUGUAUAUUGUGAAGAAGACUAUUUGUCUUUACCUCUUUUUUUUUUCUUUUUUCAAUCUAAAUUGGACUAAAUUGGGGGGGGGUGUAAUUAUAUUCCUAUUGUCAGUGUCAGAUUUAAAUGUUACAGAAUAGGUUUUUUGUUUUCUAAAUUCAAUUUGAAUAGAUACUAAACAUAAGAUAAGUAAGUGGAGAAUAGAAAGGAAGGAUAAUAAUGAGGGGAACAAAUAAUUACAGGGAGUAUUCUUCGUCUUUCUAGCCUUCGACACAAGAAAAGGAAUUUUACACACCCUUUUCUUAUGUUGAAAUAAUACCAAUUCCGGGACCCGUUCCUCAAAGAUUUCUAUUCUUAGUUUCGAUUUUUCCAGAUUUUUCAAAACCUUUAUUUUUUCGAUUUACUUAUAAUAGAAUAAGUAAUAAGGAUAAUAUAAUAAGUAUAAAAUAAGUCGAAAUAAGUAUAAUAUACUAAGUAAUGGACAACCAAAAAAAAGAGAAGGAAUCCUUACCGAUUUUUUUGAUAAAAUAGAAUCAAGGCGAUAAACUUAUAAAAUAAUUUCAAACUUUGAUGAAAUACUAAAAUAAAUCGAGUAAGGUUAGACUAGUCUAGAAAAGGUUGAUUGAUAUCUGGUCGACAGAAAAAAAAAGAAAUAUUAAAUAUUGUGUCAUCCAAUUGAGUGAUUCCUUUUUUUCUUCUAACCUUGAAAGUAUCGAUAGAUACUAUCGAAGAGCAGAUGCUAUGAAUCAAUUAAUUGAAAUUGAGUUCAUUUUUCAAAAAAAUCAUCGGAAAAAGUGAUCUAUUUGUUGUCAUUUAUACGACCAAAAUAUUAUGAUCAUGAUCAUUAAGAAUUCAACGGGACCCUUCCUCGCGAAUCAGACAAAGAAAGAGGAGGCGGGCCCCGUUGAGUUCUUACACUUUCACGCCUAUAACUUAGUUUGUCCCAUUAUCCAUUAUUCCAUAUUACAGGGACGAACCCAAUCCAGAAUAUGAACCAUAAAAGAAAAUACCUAUUAAACCGAUCACAGGAAUACCAGUUACCGUACCUAUUAUCCAAAGAGGAAUCCUUCCAGUAGUAUCGGCCAUUUAUCCCGCUUCCCUCCGCAUUUCAUCAAGUGGUCAUGCUAAAGACAUAAACAGUCAUAGAUAAUUAUGAGAUACAAUCCUUCCGAAUGGGAUAAGAGAAUUCCUACUAUUAUUUAGUAUUCUACUACUCUUUUUUUCUUAAUUGAAGAAAUAAUUGGAAAAUAAAACAGCAAGUACAAAAAUGAGUAAUAACCCCCAGUAGAGACUGGUACGAUUCAAUUCAACAUUUUGUUCGUUCGGGUUUGAUUGUGUCAUAGCUCUAUAAUUAAUUCGAAUUAGGUUUAUCGUUGGAUGAACUGCAUUGCUGAUAUUGACCCCAAAAAAGAAACGGUAGGUACAGCUAGUCCGUGAACAGCCAACCAUCGCACUGUAAAAAUUGGAUAGGUUCGAUCUAUGGUCAUUGGGUCCUCCUAAAAAGAUCUACUAAAUUCAUCGAGUUGUUCCAAAGAAUCAAAACGGCCAGUUAUUAAUGGAAUUCCUUGUCGGCUCUCUGUAAAAUACUCGUUUGGACGAGGGCUUCCAAACACAUCAUAAGCUAAACCUGUGCUGACGAAUAACCAACCCGCGAUGAAUAGGGAAGGUAUAGUAAUACUAUGAAUGACCCAGUAUCGAAUACUGGUAAUAAUAUCAGCAAAAGAACGUUCUCCUGUGCUUCCAGACAUGCCGAGCUCCACAUAUUCUUGUAGGGGAUCGAUUCCGUAAAAGAUGGGAUCAGUAAAUGGGAAUUCACCGAAACUAAAUCUUUGUGAGAUCGUCAAUAUUGUACCGAAGGUAUUUUUAGAGUAUACCGAAUCAGUAUAGCUAUCCUUCUUCUGACACAGCAACGCAAUUUCAAACAGUAUAUCGACGUGAAGUGCUAGAUAAUUUCUUUCUUCUUCUUGCUUGUCGAUGUAUAACCAGGUAUCAUGCAAUAGAAAAUUCCUCAAAUUCCUGGAGGUAUUGGCUUGGGCCUAGAAACGGAAGAUCAGGUAACCCGUGAAUCCAACGAGUUGGUUUAUAAUAAUUCAUGAAGGAAAUUAUCAUAUUUCCGCAAGUCAAUUAGAUGCGAAAUAUAAAAAUUGACUUUUUUUCGUAGUUGCACAAGAGGUUUUGUUUUUUGUUGGAAGCCCUCUUUUUUUUUAUUUUAUUUUAAGGAAUUGCUUAGUCGUCUAGUAACAAGUAAGAGUAGUCGAUAGUAUAGAUAUAGAUAAAAAAAAAAGAGGAAGGAAUAAAAAAAAAUUCUACUAAUAAUAUUUGUGAGGCGGCCUUUCUUGUAUUCUUGUAUUAGAUCCAAAGGUUUUUUCUUGACCUAACUACAAAGAUGAUGAAUCGAUUUCUUUUUCUUUUCUACUCUUGUCCUGCCGCUCUAUUUUUGUGAAUACCGUUUAUAAUGAUUGAUGAAGCAAAAAAUUUCAAUUGAACUUAUUAUUUCAAUUGGUAUUUUUGCUUAUCCCCCUCUCGUUUAAAAAUUGAAACUUAGGUAAGUGCUUUAUAAACAUAUGUAUAAAAAGAACAUAUUUCAUUUAGCUCCUUCAUGCCUACUAUAACUAGUUAUUUCGGUUUUUUACUAGCGGCUUUAACUAUAACCUCAGCUUUAUUUAUUGGUCUGAGUAAGAUACGACUUAUUUGAAAAUUAAUUCAAUGAACGAACAAUUCAUAAAAACAAAGCUUUCUGUCCUAUUCCAUAUAUUCUAUAGCUCCUUACCGUGUUAAUUAUCAAUUAUUAGGUAUUGAUAUUCAUGGGCAAUAGAAAUUAAUAUUUAGGGAUAGAUAUUACCUUUCUUUUUCUCCUUUCAAAUAAAUUGAAAUGAUUGAAGUUUUUCUAUUUGGAAUCGUCUUAGGUCUAAUUCCUAUUACUUUGGCUGGAUUAUUCGUAACCGCAUAUUUACAAUACAGACGUGGUGAUCAGUUGGACCUUGAUAAUACCUUUUUGGAUUAAUUAACAUACCUUUUUUUGACUGACCCCUUUAAUUCUUAAAUUUUUUAAUUUCAAUUUAUUUAAUAAUUUUAAUUUAAUAAUUUAAUCCAAGGAGGUCAAAUUCGAAUUGCUGUUCAAUUUUUUUUUUUCAGUUCGGUGUAAUUUUCGACCUAACAAGAGCGGAAUCACGCUCUGUAGGAUUUGAACCUACGACAUUGGGUUUUGGAGACCCACGUUCUACCGAACUGAACUAAGAGCGCUUUCUUAAUAAAUAAGACUGUAAAAAAGAGGAUUCUUUAUUUAUAACCCCAAUACAUCGCGCACAACUAUACUAUCAUAUAUCAUAUAAUAUGAGAAAACGAUAGAUUAUGUAUGCUUAAUUUUAAUCAAUCUAAAACGACUCCCUCGUUACUGCUCAAAGGAGAAGUAAUAGGUAGGGAUGACAGGAUUUGAACCCGUGACAUUUUGUACCCAAAACAAACGCGCUACCAAGCUGCGCUACAUCCCUUUCAAUUGGCCUACAAUGUCAUUGUAGAGAAUCCCUGUCUUGUUUUCCACACCCUUAUUUCAUCUAUUGAUAUACAAAACGGAUCUUUCCAUUUCCUCUUUUUGGUCUCAUAUCAUAUAACAACCAUAUAAUGAAUAAUAAAUGAAUAUUUUUAGCGGGAAUUCUCAGGCGGAAAGGGACCUAUUUUGUUUUGCUGUUUUAAGAAAGGGAAAAUCUUAUCUAUCGAAUCAUUGUACAUUUCAAUUUGAAUUUUGAAUUAGGAAUUCCGGGUACAAAUAGACAAAUCCAAGUGGUCUUUAACCACACAUACAUGCGAUUAUAUAUGUAUUACCAUAAUGUAAUACGAUAAAGAAGGAGGAUUUUAAAUGCGAGAUCUAAAAACAUAUCUUUCCGUAGCACCGGUACUAAGUACUCUCUGGUUCGGUUCUUUAGCGGGUUUAUUGAUAGAGAUCAAUCGUUUCUUCCCGGAUGCGUUAACAUUCCCUUUUUUUUAAUUCGAGUUAUUGUCGCGGGACGGGGCGAAAAAGAUUAGAUCGAGAUACAAUCAAAUAUCUGUGACUACUCUCUCGCCCCCCCCCCUUUUUUUUUUUUUUUAGUUUUUUUUUAGAAUUAGAUAAGAAUUAGAUAAAAUAAAUAAGGAAGGUAGAACGAAAAAAGUGGAUUCAACCUCACCGAAACUCGGGUUCAAGCUCCAAUUAAAUUACUAGUAGAGCGAAAAGAGAAAUGUGGCUGGAACAACAGUAUCCUACAAGAUACUUAAAGAAAAUACCGUACGGUGGUUUGAUUCUAAAUAGAGUUCGAAAUCGUUGUAUUACUUAUUCUUAUUAUUUACUAUUACUAUAAAUCUAUAUUGAUUUACUAUAUUGAUUGCAACAAAAUCUUUCAAGAUUUGGUUUUGAGUUAGCAACUUUUAUUUCUUUUUUUUUCAUUCCUUUCUUCUUCGCUUUUGAUCGGAAAAUAGAAAAGUUGGGUGAAUUAAAAACUCAAAGGAGGUUCAUGGCCAAGAGUAAAGAUGUCCGAGUAACGAUUAUUUUGGAAUGUACCAGUUGUGUUCGAAACGGCGUUAAUAAGGAAUCAACGGGUAUUUCCAGGUAUAUUACUCAAAAAAAUCGACACAAUACGCCCAGUCGAUUGGAAUUGAAGAAAUUCUGUCCCUAUUGUUACAAACAUACAAUUCACGGGGAGAUAAAGAAAUAAAUCGAAUCAAGUGCUCGUAUGUCACCACUUACCGAGAAUAUGAAAAUAUGACAUUAGGUAUAUAAUAUAUUAAGUAUAAGUAUAUAAUUAGUUAUAUAUAACGCAUAUUUUCUUUCUAUAUUAUUAAUAUUAUUUAUAUAUUAUUAAAAUAUUAUUUAUAUAUUAUUAAUAUAUUUUAAUUUAUAUAUAUUUCAAUUAUAUAUUUAAAUGAUAAAUAAUAAAAUAAACAAUAAUAAAAUAAACAAACCAAAUCCUAUUUAUUAUAUUAAUUCUAUAAUUUGAAUUUUCAAAAUAGGAUUUUAGAAAUAGAGAUAGGGAUAGGAUUCUUUUUAGAAAUAAGGAAUAAAGAAAUCAUGGAUAAAUCCAAGCGAUCUUUUCGUAGGCGUUUGCCCCCGAUCCAAUCGGGGGAUCGAAUUGAUUAUAGAAACAUGAGUUUAAUUAGUCGAUUUAUUAGUGAACAAGGAAAAAUAUUAUCUAGGCGAGUAAAUAGAUUGACCUUAAAACAACAACGAUUAAUUACUAUUGCUAUAAAACAAGCUCGUAUUUUAUCUUCGUUACCCUUUCUUAAUAAUGAGAAACAGUUUGAAAGAAGCGAGUCGACCACUAGAACUACUGCUCUUAGAACCAGAAAUAAAUAGGCUUACCCCUUCAAAAGAAUCGAAUCCGGUUGGGGAAGAAAAAAAAUCUUUUUUUUAUUGAGCGUCUUCGCUCAUCUUGUUUUGAUGACCUUAUCAGAAUCAGAAUUUUUUAUCAUAUUAAUUUCUACUCUACCUUCCCCGAGUUCAUUCUCGAGGGAACCCCAUUUCAUUUAAAGCAUUUCGUUGGAUUCCUUCCGAUCUCCUUAUUUUCUAAUCUCGUUGGAAAUCAUAUAAAGACAAUUCCUAUUUGAGAUAGCUAUUUGUGCAAGUAUUUUACGAUUCAGAAGCAACUGUUUCUUGUACAGAUUGUGUAUUAAUCGACUAUAACUAUAGGAUACCCCCACUCCACGAAUUACUGCAUUUAUUCGAGUGAUCCACAAACGACGAAAAUCCCUUUUUUUCCUAUCUCUAUCCCGAUGAGCCGAAACCAAAGCUCUUAUUCUUUGUUGAGUAAUAGUUCGAGUAAGUCUUGAAUGAGCCCCCCGAAAGCUUGAUGCAAAUAAACUAAUUUUUUUUCGACGUCUACGAGCUAUAUAUCCCCGUUUAAUUCUGGUCAUUGAAUAAAAGAAAUUUUGAUGAAUAACUAAUUCUUUCUUUCAGUUAUUCUUUUCUAGUCUAUUAAUAACAAAACGGAUUCUUCCAAUGUAUAAAAUAAAAAUUCCAAUGGCUUUUGCUACUCUAACCGUCCCGACCACGAUUUUUCCUUUUUUCUAGGCAUUUCAUUUCGCCUUGAAAUAAGAAAUUGUAUUGAUACUAGGUAUCAAAAAAAGCAUAUUAACUAAAAUAAAGGAGUAAAUAGAAAUGGAUAAAUAAAUAGUGGGUUCCAUCGUUUCUAUGGUUACUUCUUAAACGGUGAGGUCCUCUCUAUACACCGGAGCUCAUUCCUUCAUUUAAUUGGUAACUUGUACAGUUCACACUCUUCGGCUCUACUCAUAAAUUUUCCAGUAAUAGAUCUUUCACAACGAGAUCUAUCUUAUACAGUAACGGUAUGUAAGGAUGAGGAUUAAUUGGGCAGCUGACCCUGUUAGUCCGUUCUUUGCAAGAGUCGAAGCAUAAUCUUUUUGCUUUUUAAAUAGGAUUUUCCCCGCUUAAUGGAUAAGCAUUUGCUACCAAUGGGGAAUUUUUUCUCAUCUUAAAUUCUAAGAUUGGAUUUGCGCCAAUGGAAACCAUAAAUUUCAUACACAAUAGAAGGAUAUGGUAGAUCUAGUUUUUUUAGAUAGUGAACGGACGAACCCCAUUCUAUUCACUGGUACGGAUCGUUGAUACUGAAAAAGUUGUUUCUUUUUUCUCAGCCCAUGAUCUGAACAAGUCGCACAUACACCCUAGUACAUGUUCCUCGGCGCUGAGGACAUCCCCCAAGAGCAGGGGAUUUCGUGACAUUUCUAAUUGGCUGUCUUGCAUUUCUAAUAAGUUGUUUAAUAGUUGGCAUACUGAAUUAUAUACAUAAUAGACUGGUUUAGAUCGAUCCUAACCAGAUGAUUCUGAAUUACUUCUUUUUCUAUUUAAUAGAUUAAUAAAAUAUUAACCCCUUAGGCUUUAGGCUUAAGUUAAGAAGGAAAGGAAGAAGAGGGAUUAAAUCAAUCUUAAUUAAAUUGUGGAUUGGUGUUAAAUCGUUGCUAUUGCUAUUUGUUAUUUAACUUAUUUAACCGCUACAAGAUCCACAAUUCCAUGAGCUUGGGCUUCUGUUGCUGACAUAAAAACAUCUCUUUCCAUGUCUUCGGAUACAACCCAUAGGGGCUUGCCCGUUCUUUGUACAUAAACCCUUGUGAGGCUUUCGCGAAGUUUCAGUAGUUCUUCCGCUUCCAGGAUAAAUUCUCCUGUUUGUGCCUCAUAAAAAGAACUAGCAGGUUGAUGGAUCAUUACCCUGAUGAUAUAACAUAAUAAAAGGUUCUUCUAACUCACAUAAUGAGGCGAGAAGAAUAGCUAAAAAUAGCUAAAGAAUAAUAAGAAAAAAAGAUAGAAUUGAACAACCGUACAGGCAUUUUUUGUGCAUUGCAUACGGCUUUACAAUGGAAUUCUCUUUUUUCUUUCAUCGAAAAAAGAAAAAGAGAAAGAGAGCGUCUAUUAGACCCAGAUCACUAAAUAAUCCAAUUACCACCCUUCUUUUUUUUUUCGGAAAAGUUCAAAAAUACUAUGAUGGCUCCGUUGCUUUAUAUAUUUAUUUCGUCUGUGAUUCAGCAAUCCCAAAGUUUCUUUUUUUUGAAAAAAAAAGAAAGAAAAAAAUAGUCUUUUUUUUCGUACUCUUUUAUUUUAUAACAUAAAUAUUGUUAUAAAUAUUGUUAAUAGCCUCUGGUGUGAAAAGAAAAAAAGUUUGUGACGCUGAGAUGGGCCCACGAAAGCUAAGAUAAAAUUGGAAAUGCCCUUUCUCUCAUACUACUCUUUCGAUACAUAAUCUAAUGGUUUGAAAAAAAAAAGAAAUCAAAAAAAAUAUCAUAUCGAAUUCGAAGUGCCAUGCUAUUAUUACUUACUAAUUCAUAUUUCAUAUGGCGAAGGCAUAGUCUUCUUUUUUCUUUCCAUCAAAUAAAAAAAACUCAUUGGCGCCGAGCGUGAGGGAAUGCUAGACGUUUGGUAAUUUCUCCUCCGGCCAGGAGAAAAGAUCCCAUUGAAGCAGCCAAUCCCAUGCAUAUUGUAUGCACAUCUGGUUGCACAAAUUGCAUAGUAUCAUAAAUAGCUACUCCGGGUAUUACCCAUCCGCCAGGAGAGUUUAUAAACAAAUACAGAUCUUUGGUAUCAUUCUCUAUACUGAGAUAUACCAUAAGACCAAUAAGUUGAUUCGAGAUCUCGCUAUCAACCUCUUGGCCUAAAAAAAGUAAUCUUUCUCGAUAAAGUCGGUUGAUUAGGAUAAAAUUGUAUCCCUUAGUAGCCGUACAGGCACCUUUUGAUGCAUACGGUUCAACAAAAAUUGCGAAAAAAAAAUCAAUGUGUAGAUUCCAGCCAUCCUUCGUUUUUUCUAGUGUGCCUUUUCUAACUUCUAAUUUCUAACGAAGGGGCUUUUUCUUCCAUUUUUUAAAUAAAAUGAAAUUAAAGAAAGAUAAGUUUUGGCCCGUUUUCCUAUAAUCUAUAAUAUAGAAAAAUUCGCUAAACUUAUCGCACAAACUUUUCAUUGAUCUAUUUUUUUUUCAUUGGGAUUCAAUCCAAAUCACGAUGUCAUUUUCUUGUUCCUGAAUGGGUUUCAUCAAUUUUUUAUUCAAUUUUUUUAGGUUUAUGCUCUACUCCGAGUAAAGAUCCGCCCGAUUUUGAUUUGCGCAUAUAGGACAAAUGACCCAAUACCACAUCUUUUUGCUAUGAUUUCAUUUCCUUUUUUAUUUUAAUUCCUUUUUCUUUCAUGUUUUCCGCCAAAUAUUCAACGUAUUUCUCAUAUUAUUCGAUUGAUUAAUAGUUUGAAAUCGUUCUUAUUUCUAUUUCGAAUUUGUAAAUAAAAAAGAUUUAUGAUUAUGAUAUAGGUGGUAAUCAUAAAUGUAUUACCAAUUGGGUUUUUUCUAAACGGAGCCUGGAUGCUUCAUUUUUUCGGUCCAACCAAGCCAACCAUAAAUCAUUCUAAUUGAAAAUAUUAAUCUGGAUACCCCCCAAAAAAAAUGAAAUGGAUCUCUAAUUGCACUUCAUUACACUUCACGCUACAAAUUUUUGAUAAUUCAAUCAAUCUUUUUUGGGCGAAACAGAGGAUAUCUCGAUCGGGCGAGAGAACGGGGGAAUCCCAUAUGACCCAAUAUAUUUGACAAGUCGCACUAUACGUCAACCCAAACUGCAUCUUCCUCUCCCGGAUUUCGAAAAGGAACUUUUGGAACACCAAUAGGCAUUAAAGGAAAGAAAAAGAAUUAAAUACUAUAUUUCACUUUGAUCUGGAAGCGUAAUAAUGGUCUUAAUAAUAUUGGCCUCAUAUUUUAUACAUAGAUAGAAUAAGGCCAUAAAAUAAAGAAAGACAGAAUGAAUGAAAGAGAAUUCUUACCAAUAGGUCCUUUGAAUGAUGAACAAAUAGGGAUACGUUCAUUCAUAAAAAAUAGGAUCAACCCCCAUUGCGUAUUGAUACUUAUCGGGUAUAGAAUAGAUCUGCUUCUCUUUUUUCUUCUGAGCCGAAUUCUUCCCUUAAUUACUAAUGGAAUAGAACAAAUAUUAAUCCUUUCUCCGAAAGAAUCCACCCAAAAGGGGAGGUAUUCCAAUGCAAUAAAGUUACAUAGUGUCUAUUUUUCGUUGAUAAAGGGGUAUUUCCAUGGGUUUGCCUUGGUAUCGUGUUCAUACUGUCGUAUUGAAUGAUCCCGGUCGCUUGCUUUCUGUUCAUAUAAUGCAUACGGCUCUGGUUGCUGGUUGGGCCGGUUCAAUGGCUCUAUAUGAAUUAGCCGUUUUUGAUCCCUCCGAUCCCGUUCUUGAUCCAAUGUGGAGACAAGGUAUGUUCGUUAUACCCUUCAUGACUCGUUUAGGAAUAACCAAUUCAUGGGGCGGUUGGAGUAUUACAGGGGGGACUAUAACAAAUCCGGGUAUUUGGAGUUACGAAGGUGUGGCCGGAGCACAUAUUGUGUUUUCUGGCUUGUGCUUCUUGGCAGCUAUCUGGCAUUGGGUAUAUUGGGAUCUAGAAAUUUUUUGUGAUGAGCGCACAGGAAAACCUUCUUUGGAUUUGCCCAAGAUUUUUGGAAUUCAUUUAUUUCUCUCAGGAGUGGCUUGCUUUGGCUUUGGCGCAUUUCAUGUAACAGGAUUGUAUGGUCCUGGAAUAUGGGUGUCGGACCCUUAUGGACUAACUGGCAAGGUCCAACCUGUAAAUCCGGCGUGGGGCGUGGAAGGUUUUGAUCCUUUUGUUCCGGGAGGAAUAGCCUCUCAUCAUAUUGCAGCAGGGACAUUGGGCAUAUUAGCGGGCUUAUUCCAUCUUAGUGUCCGCCCGCCCCAACGUUUAUACAAANNNNNNNNNNNNNNNNNNNNNNNNNNNNNNNNNNNNNNNNNNNNNNNNNNNNNNNNNNNNNNNNNNNNNNNNNNNNNNNNNNNNNNNNNNNNNNNNNNNNNNNNNNNNNNNNNNNNNNNNNNNNNNNNNNNNNNNNNNNNNNNNNNNNNNNNNNNNNNNNNNNNNNNNNNNNNNNNNNNNNNNNNNNNNNNNNNNNNNNNNNNNNNNNNNNNNNNNNNNNNNNNNNNNNNNNNNNNNNNNNNNNNNNNNNNNNNNNNNNNNNNNNNNNNNNNNNNNNNNNNNNNNNNNNNNNNNNNNNNNNNNNNNNNNNNNNNNNNNNNNNNNNNNNNNNNNNNNNNNNNNNNNNNNNNNNNNNNNNNNNNNNNNNNNNNNNNNNNNNNNNNNNNNNNNNNNNNNNNNNNNNNNNNNNNNNNNNNNNNNNNNNNNNNNNNNNNNNNNNNNNNNNNNNNNNNNNNNNNNNNNNNNNNNNNNNNNNNNNNNNNNNNNNNNNNNNNNNNNNNAGAUCGCUUCCGGCUCUAGGCCUUUUACUAGUUAGUCCCGGUAAAGCCCCCAGACGGCGUAUUUUUUGAAACGAGGCCCUCGGUAACGUGACAUAAGGACUCCUUAUUAAUUUGAAUUUUAUUGAAAUUUCAUAAACCGAAAUUAAAACUGAACUAAAUGAAGCGAAAUCGACUGAAGGAUUGUACUACAAAUAUUAAUGAGAUGAAUUGGAUCAAUAUCCAUACUUUACUUUUUUGUUUUUUUGUAUUGUAUAUAAUGUAUACAAAAAAUAGAAAUAAAUAUAUAUAUAAUAAUAAUAUAUAAAAAGAAUAUUAAUAUAUAAAUAUAAAAAUAUAUAAAAUAUUUAGAAUAUAUAUAAUAAAAUAGAUAUAUAGAUAUAUAAAUAAAUUGAAUAUAAUAUUAAAUAGAUAAAUAAAUUAAACCAAAAGAGUUUCCUUUUUUUUCUUGAUUUAUUCUGCAAAGAUCUAACUCCUCAAAUUGAUCCCUAAUUGGAAGUUUCGACGAGAUAAUAAACAGAUUGUUGACCUUUGGAAAGAAUUGGAAAGAAAAGGGGAAAAAGCUUUUUCACUGUUUGUUCUUUGAUUUCAAAAAAAACAUUCUAAAUUAUGUAAAAAAGGCAAAAAGCAAACAAAUAGGGAAAGCCGGCUAUCGGAAUCGAACCGAUGACCAUCGCAUUACAAAUGCGAUGCUCUAACCUCUGAGCUAAGCGGGCUCAAAUAAUAGAAAUUUGGUAUCCAUAGGGAUUCAGCAAACUAUUAGAUCUUAUCUAUUAACUAUCUAUUAGUUAUUCAUAAUUAAUAUGAAUUAUUAAUAUGAAUUAUAGACUCGAAUUUAGAAAAACUAGAAUUUUUUCUAAUUUUUAAUGCCAUACUUAAUAUAAACUUAAUAUAAAUAUAACAUGUUUAAUAUAAUAAUGGUAGAUUCAAUCUAAUAUUCAAGCUAAUGUUGAUAGAAUCUAAUAAUUAAAUUAAAAUUUUAUAUAUAUAUUUAUUAUUUAUCUAUAUAUUUUAUAUAUUUAAUAUAUUUAAUAUCUUUUUUUAUAUCUUAGUUAUAUUUCUUUUAUAUUAAUAUAUUACUAAUAUUACUGACUCCAUUUUUAUUUUCUAGUUUAUUUUAUAUUUUAGUAUAUUUUACAUCUAAAUUAUAUAGAAAUAGAAAAUUUUUUAUAUAGAUUUCAUUUAAUCGAUCGAUUUAAUAGAUUUAAUAUAGAUUCAAUUUAUUUUGAAUAGAUUUAAUAUAGAUUAAAUUUAUUUCUAUUUAGUUUAGAGUUCUAAAUAGAGAUAAUUAGAGUCAAAAUCUUUUUAUGCAGUUAUAUAUUUUAUGAUUAUAUAAAUGAAACGUUAUAAGUCUAGAUAAUUAGAAUGAAACUCUUUUUAGACUCAAAAAUUUGAAUUAUCUUCGAAUUCGAAAUAGAAAUGAAUGGAAUAAUUAGUUCUAGAAAUAUAAAUAAUUAGUUCUAGCUAUUAUACUAUAAAAAAAAAUAAUGAAUUUCAUUUUCAUUUUUAAUAAUGAAUAAAUUCAAUUUUCAUUUUUAUUUUUUUAGUUAUUAUGGUUAUAUAGGAUAGUCUAAUAAAAGGAUAAGAAUAAAAAUGAAAUUAAAGAAAAAAAGAUGCAACCCAUAGAAAUGAAAUCCAGAUCAUAAUGAGAGACUCCUUUCUUUUGUUUUCAUUCAUAAAGACAGAAGCUAAGACGAAAAAAAGAAUCGACCCUUCGAGUAUUCCACCAAAUUGCCUGAGAAAACUGAGAGUAAGAGGGACAUAUAUAUGUUAUGAAAUACCCAUCUAUAUUGAAUUGCGAAUACAGAAAUGAUAAAAUAUUUUUGGACCAAAUAAAAAUUAAUAUGGGUCUCCGAUAGAGACGAAAGACGGAUAAACAAACAAGAAAAUAGGUAAAGACCCUUCGAUAUAAGAAUCUGUAUCUAUAUCUACUAAAUUCAACGGUUUCGCAUAAAAAGAAAGCAAAUAAAUAAACGAAAGAAAAUAAACAAAUGAAAGAAGGGGGAAAGGAGGGAGAAAGGGGGAAGGAGGGGCAUCCUAAUGAGAUCCUAAUCUCAAGACACAAAAGGGGAUAUGGCGAAAUUGGUAGACGCUACGGACUUAAUUGGAUUGAGCCUUGGUAUGGAAACCUACUAAGUGAUAACUUUCAAAUUCAGAGAAACCCUGGAAUGAAAAAUGGGCAAUCCUGAGCCAAAUCCUAUUAUUUUAUUAUUUUACGAAAAUAAACAUGAACAAAGGUUCAGCAAGCGAGAAUAAGAAAAAAAGGAAAGGAUAGGUGCAGAGACUCAAUGGAAGCUAUUCUAACAAAUGGGGUUGACUGUUGGUAAAGGAAUCCUUAUAUCGAAUAUCGAAACUCUAGAAAGGAUGCAAGAUAUACCUAUUUUUUUUAUAGGUAUACUAAUGAAAAACUAUCUCAAAAAAGACGAACCGAACCCGUAUUUUUUUUUAUUUCUAUUAUAUGCAAUAUCAAUUUCUAUUUAUAUGAAAAUAUGAAAAAUAAAAAGAAUUGUUGUGAAUCGAUUCCAAGUUGAAGAAAGAAUCGAAUAGAAUAGUCAUUAAUCAAAUCAUUCACUCCAUAGUCUGAUAAAUCUUUUGAAAAACUGAUUAAUCGGACGAGAAUAAAGAUAGAGUCCCGUUCUACAUGUCAAUAUCAAUACCGACAACAAUGAAAUUUAUAGUAAGAGGAAAAUCCGUCGACUUUAAAAAUCGUGAGGGUUCAAGUCCCUCUAUCCCCAACCCCAAAAAGCCCGUUUGCUGUCUAUUUAUUUUAUCCUACCCUUUUUGUUAGUGGUUCAAAGUUCCUCAUGUUUCUCAUUCAUCCUAUUCUUUGCCGUUUUGCAAGCGUAUCCUAGCAUAGCAGAAUUUUGUUCUCUUAUCACAAGUCUUGUGAUAUAGUGUGAUGUGAUAUAUAUAUGAUAUACGUAGAAAUCUCUUGAGCAAGGAAUACCUAUUUGAAUGAUUCAUAAUACAUAUGAUUACUCAUAUGGAAAUUUACAAAGUCUUCCUUUUGAAGAUCCAAGAAAUUCCUGUUCGAGACUUUUAAUUUAAUACUUUUUCGUUUUUUUUGUUUUCAUUUUUAAUUGACAUAGACCCAAGUCAUCUAGUAUUAUGAGGAUAAUGCGUCGGUAAUGGUCGGGAUAGCUCAGUUGGUAGAGCAGAGGACUGAAAAUCCUCGUGUCACCAGUUCAAAUCUGGUUCCUGGCAUAUGAUUAAUUUGUAUGAGUAUCUACUCUACAAAUUAAUUGAUAUGGAUCGACAUAAUACAUACUUAUCUAGCUAGGUAUCUGAGAGUAAACCCUCUCUUUAUUUAUUUUAUUUUGUAUUUUUUUCUCUUUUUAAAAUGAGCAAAGAGUCUAUUCUAAUGUGUCUAUUAUAAUGUAGUAAAAGACAAAAUUUGCUUAUCUUUCCUCUUCUUUUUUAUUUGUUCACACUGCGGCUUCUCACAUUCAAAAAGAAUGGUAAUACUUCAUACAUAUUUAAUUAAAAGAUUAAAAUAAAAAUAGUUGGUUGAAAGGCCCAACAAAAAGUCGGGUCUAGAGGAGUUCAAGGAUAGAAAUAACCAAGACUCAUCUCAGCUACAGUACAAAUAGAAGCCGAUCCCCUUUCAUUUAUUUCUUUGUAUUCUCUUUCAUAUUCCAUUUCUUCAUUCCCUUCUAUGCGACUCUCUAGAGUUCAUCUAAGUGAUGUGCGCGAUACAAAGUUCACGGUACAGAACCCUUGUUGUUCAUCCUAUUGUCUCGGCUCGUCCGAAAUAAAAUAAAUAUAAAUAAAAAAGUCUCUUCAAAAAUCGAGAAUCUCAAUGAUGUAUUGUCUUUUAUUUCUUUUUAUUUAUUAGCCUAUCCAUAAGAAUACGAAUGAAACCUCAAUUCCUCUGUUUGAGCUAGAAGAGAAUGUACAAAUAUUCCUUGAAUAUUCGAAGUUGUAAUUAGUUUCUUAUCAUUCAAUGAGCGUCUUGUAUUUCAUAAAAAUUGGGGGCAAUGUAAUCCUUACGUAAAGGCCACCCUAUCCAACUUUCGGGCAUUAAGAUACGUUUCAGUCGUGGAUGAUUUUCAUAAGAGAUUCCCAACAUGUCAUAAGAUUCUCGUUCUUGAAAAUCCGAACUUUUCCAAACCCAGAAAACAGACGGAAUUCUAGGGUUACUCCUUGGAGCAAAUACUUUUAUACAUACCUCUUCCGGUUGAUCUACACCAUACUCUAUUCUCGUAAGAUGAUACACACUGGCUAACAGUCCGCCUGGUGCUACAUCAUAGGCACAUUGGGAACGUAGAUAAUUGUAACCAUAUACAUAUAAAAUAACAGCAAUGGAAUGCCAAUCCUCAGGCUUUAUUUGUAAAGUCUCUAUUCCUUGGUAAUCGAAGCCCAAAGAUCUAUGAACUAGCCCGUGUUUGACUAGCCAAACAGACAAACGACCCUGCAUCUUUUUAUCUCUCCCGCACUUUUAUUUUUUAUUUGUCAUUUUUAUAAGAUAAGUAUUUCGCAUUUAUGAUGAAAUCGAAUUUAUGAAGAUUAAUUCGUUGUCUGUUUCUGUAAAAAAAAAAAUCCUACCUAAUUUACUAAUUCGUGGGAAGAUAGUGAACCCUUGUAGUUGAAAAAUGUUUCAGGAGGAAUCUCUGAAGUAGAUGGUGGUUGAUAGAGCAAUCCUUGAUUAUAAUUUCCAGUACGAGUACUGCGUACAAGACAAAACUUGUGAUUGGUAGUAAAACACCGAUCCCCCUGUUGAGAUCUAAUUCGAUCUUCAUAGAUUUCGCGAGAUAUUUUCUUACGAAGUUUUGUUAUAGCAUCUAUAACUGCCUCGGGUUUAGGGGGACAGCCCGGCAAAUAGACAUCCACGGGAAUUAGCUUAUCGACCCCCCGAACAGUACUAUAAGAAUCAGUACUGAACAUCCCUCCUGUAAUUGUACACGCGCCCAUAGCAAUAACAUAUUUAGGUUCGGGCAUUUGUUCAUAUAAUCUCACUAAAGAGGGCGCCAUUUUCAUUGUUACUGUUCCAGCUGUUAAAAUUAGGUCUGCCUGUCUAGGACUCGAUCUUGGUACCAGCCCAUAACGAUCAAAGUCGAAGCGUGAGCCUAUUAAUGAAGCAAAUUCAAUAAAGCAACAACUGGUACCAUAAAGAAGCGGCCAUAAACUGGAGAGUCUUGACCAAUUUGAAAGAUCAUUUAAUGUAGUUGAAAUAACUGAAUUUUGGGUUGUUCGAUCAAGUAAGGGAAAUUCGAUGGAAUUCAUACUCAAUGUUAUUAUUAUUUUGACUUUUUUCUUUCUUUUUAUUAUCUGAAUAUUCAGGAACUAAGACCAUUCCAAUGCUCCUUUUCGCCAUGCAUAAACUGAACCAACAAUUAGGAUAAGCACGAAAAUGAAAGCUUCUAUGAAUACGGGUACCCCCAAUACAUCGAAACUCAUUGCCCAUGGAUAAAGAAAAACCGUUUCAACAUCAAAAACAACAAAAACUAGAGCAAACAUAUAAUAACGGAUUCGAAAUUGUAACCAAGCAUCGCCCAUUGGUUCUAUACCCGAUUCAUAACUAGAAAGUUUUUCUGGACCCUUUCUAAUCGGGGCUAAAACUCCAGAAAUUAGAAAUGCCAAAAUAGGAAUAGCACUUGAUAUUAUUAGAAAUGCCCAGAAAAUAUCAUAUUCGUAAAGCAGAAACAUAGACGAACUCCUAUGAAUGUGAAAAAUAGAUCGGAUUAGUCGCUUCGACCUGGAAUUCAUUGUCAAGUCAUCCGCAACUGUUUGUUUAGUCAAAACAACAAUUCAGUUUGAUCGAAUCGUCCAGUUUCGUUUGUUUGCGGUGUUUCCAUGUUGCGUUUUAAGAUUUAUUGAUUGGAAUUAAUCCUAUUUUAUUUACAUUCCACUUAUUUCGAUUUCAUUUCGAUAUAGUACUAAUUUGUAUAAUACUAGUAUAAAUAUAUAUUUAUACUAUAUAUAGUAUAAUACUAUACAAAUCCAAAACAAGUAAUACUUUUUCGUUUUCACUUCAUUUCGGAUUUUUCUAAAUAAAAGGAAUUCUAAUAUCUAACUAAUAUCUAAUAUUUAUUAGAAUUUUUGAAAUAAAAAAACUUUUAAUUCGAAAUUCUAUUUAUUCUAAAUAUAAAUUCGAAAUUAUAGAUUUAGAAUAAAUAGAAAUUUUGUAUUUUAUAUCUAUUUAUAUAGAAUCAAUCAAAAAUCAAUCUACCCGCGAGGAUUAAUUAAGAAAAUGGGGUUUUGUUUAUUUUAUUCUUAUCCAAGAAAAAAAAAGAGCGAUUGGAUCCGUUGAAAUGCGCUUUUGUU